rnacentral:rRNA from 1 species
CUAGUGGCGAACGGGUGAGUAACACGUGAGGAACCUGCCCCGGAGACCGGGAUAGCCCAGGGAAACCUGGAUUAAUACCGGAUACCCUCGGAUGGUCACAUGGCCGAGCGAGGAAAUGGUCCGCUGCUCCGGGAUGGCCUCGCGCCCUAUCAGCUUGUUGGUGAGGUAACGGCUCACCAAGGUGUAGACGGGUAGCUGGUCUGAGAGGACGAUCAGCCACACUGGGACUGAGACACGGCCCAGACUCCUACGGGAGGCAGCAGCAGGGAAUAUUGCACAAUGGGCGAAAGCCUGAUGCAGCGACGCCGCGUGAGGGAUGACGGCCUUCGGGUUGUAAACCUCUUUCAGGAGGGACGAAGCGAAAGUGACGGUACCUCCAGAAGAAGCCCCGGCCAACUACGUGCCAGCAGCCGCGGUAAUACGUAGGGGGCGAGCGUUGUCCGGAUUCAUUGGGCGUAAAGAGCUCGUAGGCGGCUCAGCAAGUCGGCCGUGAAAUCCCAGGGCUCAACCCUGGGGCGCCGGUCGAAACUGCUGUGGCUAGGGUCCGGUAGAGGAGAGUGGAAUUCCCGGUGUAGCGGUGAAAUGCGCAGAUAUCGG